rnacentral:rRNA from 1 species
ACUGCUCAGUAACACGUAGUUAACCUAACCUAUGGAUGGGGAUAACCUCGGGAAACUGAGAAUAAUCCCCGAUAGAUCACAAUGCCUGGAAUGGUUUGUGAUUCAAAUGAUUUAUCGCCGUAGGAUGGGACUGCGGCCUAUCAGCUAGUUGGUGAGGUAAUGGCCCACCAAGGCUAUAACAGGUACGGGCUCUGAGAGGAGGGGCCCGGAGAUGGGUACUGAGACACGGACCCAGGCCCUAUGGGGCGCAGCAGGCGAGAAACCUUUGCAAUGUGCGAAAGCACGACAAGGUUAAUCCGAGUGUCUUCUGCUAAAGAAGUCUUUUGUUAGUCAUAGAACCACUGAUGAAUAAGGGGUGGGCAAGUUCUGGUGUCAGCCGCCGCGGUAAAACCAGCACCUCGAGUGGUCAGGAGGUUUAUUGGGCCUAAAGCAUCCGUAGCCGGUUGUUUAAGUUUUCGGUUAAAUCUAUGCGCUUAACGUAUAGGCUGCCGAAAAUACUGGACAGCUAGGGAGUGGGAGAGGUACACGGUACUCAAUAGGAAGGGGUAAAAUCCUUUGAUCUGUUGAUGACCACCUGUGGCGAAGGCGGUGUACCAGAACACGUUCGACGGUGAGGGAUGAAAGCUGGGGGAGCAAACCGGAUUAGAUACCCGGGUAGUCCCAGCUGUAAACGAUGCAAACUCGGUGAUGCAUUGGCUUGUGGCCAAUGCAGUGCCGCAGGGAAGCCGUUAAGUUUGCCGCCUGGGAAGUACGUACGCAAGUAUGAAACUUAAAGGAAUUGGCGGGGGAGCAC